rnacentral:rRNA from 1 species
UCCUGCCAGUAGUCAUAUGCUUGUCUCAAAGAUUAAGCCAUGCAUGUCUAAGUUCACACUGUCUCACGGUGAAACCGCGAAUGGCUCAUUAAAUCAGUCGAGGUUCCUUAGAUGACACGAUCCUACUUGGAUAACUGUGGCAAUUCUAGAGCUAAUACAUGCCUAUGAAGCUCCGACCCUCGUGGAAAGAGCGCUUUUAUUAGUUCAAAACCAAUCGCCGGUCGUCUUCGGGCGGCCGGUGUCCCCAUUGGUGACUCUGGAUAACUUUGUGCUGAUCGCAUGGCCUUCGUGCCGGCGACGCAUCUUUCAAAUGUCUGCCCUAUCAAAUGUCGAUGGUACGUGAUAUGCCUACCAUGUUUGUAACGGGUAACGGGGAAUCAGGGUUCGAUUCCGGAGAGGGAGCAUGAGAAACGGCUACCACAUCCAAGGAAGGCAGCAGGCGCGCAACUUACCCACUCCCGGCACGGGGAGGUAGUGACGAAAAAUAACAAUACGGGACUCUCUACGAGGCUCCGUAAUUGGAAUGAGUACACUUUAAACCCUUUAACGAGGAUCUAUUGGAGGGCAAGUCUGGUGCCAGCAGCCGCGGUAAUUCCAGCUCCAAUAGCGUAUAUUAAAGUUGUUGCAGUUAAAAAGCUCGUAGUUGGAUCUCAGGUGCAGGCGGACGGUCCGGCUCGCGCCGGUUCACUGUCCGUAUUUCCUGCCCUACUGGUCUGCCGGCUCUCUCCCGUGGGUGCUCUUCGCUGAGCGUCCCGGGUGGCCGGCGCGUUUACUUUGAAAAAAUUAGAGUGUUCAAAGCAGGCCUCGGCUGCCUGAAUAAUGGUGCAUGGAAUAAUGGAAUAGGACCUCGGUUCUAUUUUGUUGGUUUUCGGAACUGGAGGUAAUGAUUAAAAGGGACAAACGGGGGCAUUCGUAUUGCGGCGUUAGAGGUGAAAUUCUUGGAUCGCCGCAAGACGAGCUACUGCGAAAGCAUUUGUCAAGAAUGUUUUCAUUAAUCAAGAACGAAAGUCAGAGGU